GCAUUUCUGCACAAGGCCGUGCCAAAGCUCAGGCUGUGGUGAAAGGAGAGAUACCAAAAAUAUAUCGAGAGGUGCACCGUUGGGAAAUUAAGAAAGGAGUACGUCCUGCGUGAGUCAAACAGUGCGGCAUUUGAUUAGCCACGUGCAGCUGAGAGGAUCGCCUUCAAAGGGUUCAUCCACCUGCAGUGGAUUGGAGCCUCACGCAGGGAUCCCUGACAGAAAUCUUGGAGGAAGAGGGGCGAGGUGAUCACCAUGAUCCCUGCUGCCUGCAGACUGUUGCGGGCCGAGUUUACACGUCCCAGCGUGGUGCUGCAUAAAGAGACGGAGUUAGUGCCGAAUGGAAACCAGAAGCUGGAUAGCUGUAAGAAACCCUCGGGAAGAGAAGCACUGCCACCUCCCUUUUAUAAAAUGUGGCCUUUUUUAUAACGCAAAAGAUGAGAAGAUUGAACAACUUGGCCGAG
rnacentral:lncRNA from 1 species